UUACCUCGGGGGGCAGCAGUGGGGAAUAUUGGACAAUGGGGGGAACCCUGAUUCAGCGACGCCGCGUGAGUGAAGAAGUAUUUCGGUAUGUAAAGCUCUAUCAGCAGGGAAGAAAAUGACGGUACCUGACUAAGAAGCCCCGGCUAACUACGUGCCAGCAGCCGCGGUAAUACGUAGGGGGCAAGCGUUAUCCGGAUUUACUGGGUGUAAAGGGAGCGUAGACGGCAGCACAAGUCUGGAGUGAAAUC
rnacentral:rRNA from 1 species